UGAAAUAAAUAGCCGCAGGAAUUUUACUGUGCUAAGGUAGCAUAAUCAUUAGCCUUUUAAUUAAAGACUAGAAUGAAAGAUUCAACAUUUUAAUUUCUUUUAAUUCUUAAAUAUAUUUAAUUUAUCCUAAAUAUAAAAAUAUAUUUAUAUAAUAAAAAGACGAUAAGACCCUAUUGAACUUCACUUCAGUUUAGCUGGGGCAGCUAAUUAAAUUUAAUUUUAACUAAAAUACUUUUAUAAAAAGACCCAAUACUAUUGAUUCAAUGAACAAGUUACCAUAGGGAUAACAGCGUAAUAAAUUUCCAAAGCUCAUAUAAAAAAAUAAGAUUACGACCUCGAUGUUGAAUUAAUUUACCUAAAAAACGCAAUAGUUUAAUAAGGGGGUCUGUUCGACCUUUAAAUUAUUACAUGAUCUGAGUUC
rnacentral:rRNA from 1 species